rnacentral:rRNA from 1 species
GCAUAGAGAGCCUGCUCUCUGAUGGCGAGUGGCGAACGGGUGAGUAAUAUAUCGGAACGUGCCCAGUAAUGGGGAAUAACUAGCCGAAAGGUUAGCUAAUACCGCAUACGACCUACGGGUGAAAGCAGGGGAUCUUAGGACCUUGCGUUAUUGGAGCGGCCGAUAUCUGAUUAGCUUGUUGGUGGGGUAAAAGCCUACCAAGGCAACGAUCAGUAGCUGGUCUGAGAGGACGAUCAGCCACACUGGAACUGAGACACGGUCCAGACUCCUACGGGAGGCAGCAGUGGGGAAUUUUGGACAAUGGGGGAAACCCUGAUCCAGCCAUCCCGCGUGAGUGAAGAAGGCCUUCGGGUUGUAAAGCUCUUUCGAAAGUAAAGAAAACUUAUUUCGUAAUAUGUUAUGAGUAUGACGGUAACUUUAGAAGAAGCACCGGCUAACUACGUGCCAGCAGCCGCGGUAAUACGUAGGGUGCGAGCGUUAAUCGGAAUUACUGGGCGUAAAGCGUGCGCAGGCGGUUUUGUAAGUCAGAUGUGAAAUCCCCGAGCUUAACUUGGGAACUGCGUUUGAAACUACAAGACUAGAGUGUGUCAGAGGGGGGUAGAAUUCCACGUGUAGCAGUGAAAUGCGUAGAGAUGUGGAGGAAUACCAAUGGCGAAGGCAGCCCCCUGGGAUAACACUGACGCUCAUGCACGAAAGCGUGGGGAGCGAACAGGAUUAGAUACCCUCGUACUCCAUGCCGUAAACGAUGU